CUGAUGCUCUGAUGCUACUGGAGGGCAAGGAGAACUACGGCGUCUAUCCGGACAGAUAAUUUUAAGUGGCGGGAGUAGUGACAUAACGAACGACUGUAUAUCCGCCUUCUGGCGCUGUGACGAAAGGACUGCCCGGCGGAUCAGUUCAGCUGACAGUCAACCGAGGGCAGAGACAAGACUCUGAUCUGCGAUGGUACCACCAGUGACAACUGUGACAAUGUCCACGAUGAGGCCGACUGCUGCAAGCGACCUGAGAGUUUCAGUGUCCCAUCGACCAGCUUUGCAUCGGCCGCCCUGCUCUGCGAUGGCCGUGCCUCGGAUAUUUUCGCGCACCGAACCAAAAAUCGAGCUUUAAUGGCUCCAUCGAAGAAAUUAAAGAACCUGCCGGCUAUGCCAUAUGAGGUGCAACGCGACCAAGCUGCGGAUGAAGAUGGAGCGAAAGACUAUGGAUGAGUAUGCCAGGCUACUACUACCACAAUGCCUUCUACAAGGACCCAAGGUCCGAAGGCGACACCAGUUUAAGGUACGCGCUUGUCCCCAACGAACGAUGGACAAGUUGCUCAGUAUGCCAAAAGCGGAAGAGGAUGAUUCGCCCGAAGAGUUUCAGCAUGAAUAGGCAAAAUUGGGAAAGUUAUUUUCUCCGGUAACCUUCUACGCCUUUGCAAAGUACGCGGACAAGGAAACAAAACCGAAACAAAUAAGCACGGAAGAAGUCAAGCCUUCUACAUAUAUUCCCUGAGGCAAAUCCUGCUUUUAUGGCGAAGUUGCUAGCAUCUGGCUAUCCCGUUAACGAAACAGCAGUCAAGUUUUUAGCGGAGUAUGGUCGGAGAGGCAUAGGGAUCCGUGUACGUCGGACCAGAUAGAGCUACGUCGGAGCUCAGUUAAAGGUUGAGCUGGCCAACGCUUUCAGCAAUCUUGCGGGACCGGAUUUAUUUAUUUAUGGUAAUAAACUCAU